AGAAGAUGGUAAGGGCAAACGGUGGAUGCCUUGGCACAAGAAGCCGAUGAAGGACGUGAUAAGCUGCGAUAAGCCACGGUAAGGAGCACAUAUCCUGUGACCCGUGGAUUUCCGAAUGGGUAAACCCACCAAGAGUCAUUUCUUGGUACUUCCUGCUGAAUAUAUAGGCAGGAUAGAGGUAACCGGGGGAACUGAAACAUCUAAGUACCCCGAGGAAGAGAAAUCAAACGAGAUUCCCCUAGUAGUGGCGAGCGAACGGGGAUAUAGGACAAACCGUCAGUUGUGCAAGCGCUGGCGGGGUUGUAGGACCAUUCAUUGUGGAGUUACAAAACUUCGUGGAAGCAGAAUAGCUUGGAAAAGCUGGCGAGACAGGGUAAAAGCCCCGUACGCGAAUCUGCGAAGACUCCCGAGUGGCACCUGAGUACUGCCGGACACGUGAAACCCGGUGGGAACCUGGGGGGUCCACCCUCCAAUCCUAAAUACUCUCUUGUGACCGAUAGUGAACCAGUACCGUGAGGGAAAGGUGAAAAGCACCCCUAGCGGGGAGUGAAAUAGUACCUGAAACCGUUUGCCUACAAGCAGUCGGAGCAGACUUUUGUCUGUGACGGCGUGCCUUUUGUAGAAUGAGCCAGCGAGUUACGGCAUGUGGCAAGGUUAAGCUAAAAAGCGAGCCGCAGCGAAAGCGAGUCUGAAUAGGGCGAGUGAGUCGCAUACCGUAGACGCGAAGCCAGGUGAGCUAUCCAUGAGCAGGCUGAAGCGGGGGUAAGACCCCGUGGAGGGCCGAACCCACUUAGGUUGAAAACUGAGGGGAUGACUUGUGGAUAGGAGUGAAAGGCCUAUCAAACCUGGAGAUAUCUCGUUCUCUCCGAAAUAGCUUUAGGGCUAGCCUCGGAUGUUUACCAAUGGGGGUAGAGCACUGAAUAGUUGCGGGGGCUUCACCGCCUACCAAGAUUAAUCAAACUCCGAAUACCAUUGGUCUAGAAUCCGGGAGUCAGAAUAUGUGGGCUAAGCUGUGUAUUCGAAAGGGAAACAGCCCAGACCGCCCGCUAAGGUCCCAAAAUCAAUGCUAAGUGGCAAAGGAUGUGCGUUUGCUCAGACAACCAGGAUGUUGGCUUAGAAGCAGCCAUUCAUUUAAAGAGUGCGUAAUAGCUCACUGGUCGAGUGGACAUGCGCCGACAAUAUACGGGGCUAAGCAUUGUACCGAAGCGGCGGAUUAGUACUUUGUACUGGUGGUAGGAGAGCUUUCUGUACGGGUUGAAGCAGUUGGAUAACCAACUGUGGACUGUCCAGAAGUGAGAAUGCUGGCAUGAGUAACGAGAGACAUGUAAAAAACAUGUCCGCCGUAAACCCAAGGUUUCCUGGGCAAGGCUAAUCCUCCCAGGGUUAGGCGGGAGCUAAGGCAAGGCCGGAAGGCGUAGUCGAUGCACAACAGGUAGAAAUUCCUGUCCCUCCAAAAGAGCGUUAUCACCAAUGGGGUGACGGAGCAGGGUAGCUAGGCGGGGUUCUGGACGUCCCCGUGAUGGCACGUAGGCUGAGAAGUAGUGAAAUGCGCUUCUCGUGUGGCUGAGGUGUCGGACGAAGCAAUUGAGUGAAGCUAGUAAGCCCAUACUUCCAAGAAAAACCUCUAGGGAGCUCUGAGGAGCCCGUACCGCAAACCGACACAGGUGGGUGGGUAGAGCAUACCAAGGCGAUCGGGAGAACUAUGGUUAAGGAACUCGGCAAAAUUGCCCCGUAACUUCGGGAGAAGGGGUGCCGGUUUCGGUGAAGGGAUUUACUCCCCGAGCUAAGAUCGGUCACAGUAAAUAGGUCCAAGCGACUGUUUAUCAAAAACACAGGACUCUGCUGAAGUCGUAAGACGACGUAUAGGGUCUGACGCCUGCCCGGUGCCGGAAGGUCACGAGGAGUUGUUAGCAUUAGCGAAGCAGCGAAUCUAAGCCCCGGUAAACGGCGGCCGUAACUAUAACGGUCCUAAGGUAGCGAAAUUCCUUGUCGGGUAAGUUCCGACCUGCACGAAAGGCGUAACGAUUUGGACGCUGUCUCAACCAUAGACCCGGUGAAAUUGCACUAGUCGUGAAGAUGCGACUUACCCGCAGAAGGACGGAAAGACCCCGUGAACCUUUACUGCAGCUUGACAUUGGCUGCCGGUUCGUCGUGUAGAGGAUAGGUGGGAGACUUUGAACCAGGGACGCCAGUCUCUGGGGAGUCACCCUUGGAAUACCACCCUCGACGUUCUGGCAUCCUAACUUGCGACCGUUAUCCGGCGUGAGGACCGUGUCAGGUGGGUAGUUUGACUGGGGCGGUCGCCUCCUAAAAUGUAACGGAGGCGCACGUAAGGUCUGCUCAGGAUGGUCGGCAACCAUCCUUUUGAGUGCAAGAGCAUAAGCAGGCUUGACUGCGAGGCCUACAAGCCGAGCAGAUGGGAAACCAGGUUCUAGUGAUCCGGCGGCUCAGAGUGGUAUGGCCGUCGCUCAACGGACAAAAGGUACUCCGGGGAUAACAGGCUGAUCUUCCCCAAGAGUCCACAUCGACGGGAAGGUUUGGCACCUCGAUGUCGGCUCAUCGCAUCCUGGGGCUGGAGCAGGUCCCAAGGGUAUGGCUGUUCGCCAUUUAAAGCGGUACGCGAGCUGGGUUCAGAACGUCGUGAGACAGUUCGGUCCCUAUCCUCUGUGGGCGUAGGAAAAUUGAGGGAGGCUGCCCCUAGUACGAGAGGACCGGGGUGGACGGACCUCCGGUGUACGGGUUGUUAACCAAUAGCAUUGCCCGGUAGCUGAGUCCGGUCGGGAUAACCGCUGAAAGCAUCUAAGCGGGAAGCCCAUCCCAAGAUGAGUUUUCCUUUCGGUAAGACCCCUUGUAGACUACGAGGUUGAUAGGAUGCAGAUGUAAGUGCUGUAAGGCAUUCAGUCGAGCAUUACUAAUCGGUCGAGCUCUUCUUUUCUUUAAUAUAUUUU
rnacentral:rRNA from 1 species